UAAACACACUUAUCUCUGAAAAUAAUAAAAUAUUGUUUGUGUGGUAGCGUACGAUUCUCUAAUCUACAUCGUACAACCGUGGAAUAAAACCAUGAUAAGAAAAAACUUUUUUACCUACUAUUUUUAUACAACAUAUUAACAUUCAAUAGUCAAUACUGUCAUUAAACAGUAUAUCUUACAUAUCAUACAAACAAACAAUAAACAUUAAGCAUAUACUUUAGAAAAAGUAUUUAAUGAAGGGGCUGCACGAACUCAAUAAAUGGAAUUCAAAAUCAUCAAACUAUUAACAAAACAUCAAAUGUAUCUCAAAUACAGCAAACAUCUAACAUCAUUUACAACAUAACAAUCGGCAAUGGUAAAAAUAAAACCACUUAGAUGAAGCUUGCUUUUCAUUUAAGUGGUUUUAUUUUUACUAUUGACGACUGUUAUGUUGAAAUUGUUUGUCUGUAUAGAUCCAAUAGCUGAUGAUCCAUUUAAUGCUAUAGUUUGAUGAUUUUUAGUUCCAUUUAUUGAGUUUGACGGUGCAGCUAUUUUUAUCGCAGUCAUCGAAUUAACAUCAUGCGUGGUGACGCUGGAAUUAUUUAAAUUUUUUUCAUAGUUGUCAAUGAUUGUUGAUAUGUUUCUCAAGUCUUUAAGAAUUACUUUGAUAUUGUCAAUAUUUUUUUGUUCCUUAAAAAAAAAAAAAAAAGAUUAAAAUCAGUGCGUGUAGGUACAUAUAAUUAUUAAUUUGAUAUAAUGUGAGAUACAGUCUGGUGACAGACGAACGGACAGCUGAGCGAAAGUAAUAGGGGCUUGCAAGCCAAAUAGGUUGAACUUGUAGUCAAACGAACAAUUUUGGACACGACAUAAUGUAUAUCACAGAAAGUAGAAUAAAAUGCAAAAACUACUAGUAAGUCAU